GGGGGGGGGGGGGGGGGUGCCUGGUGCGGGGGAGUCGGGCGGAGAGGCGGGGGGCUUGCUCCUCUGACGUUAGCGGCGGCCGGGUGGGUAACACGGGGCUAACCUACCUGUAAGACUGGGAUAACUUGGGGAAACCGGAGCUCAUACCGGAUAAUAUAUUGGACCGCAUGGUUGCAUAGUUAACGACGGUUUUGCUGGAACUUAUAGAUGGAUCCGCGCCACAUUCGCUACUUAGUAAGGUAACGGCUUACCAAGGCUACGAUGCGUAGCCGACCUGAGAGGGUGAUCGGCCACACUGGAACUGAGACCCGGUCCAGACUCCUACGGGAGGCAGCAGUAGGGAAUCUUCCGCAAUGGGCGAAAGCCUGACGGAGCAACGCCGCGUGAGUGAUGAAGGUCUUCGGAUCGUAAAACUCUGUUAUUAGGGAAGAACACAUGUGUAAGUAACUAUGCACGUCUUGACGGUACCUAAUCAGAAAGCCACGGCUAACUACGUG
rnacentral:rRNA from 1 species